CAGCAGCCGCGGGAAUACGGAGGGUGCAAGCGUUAUCCGGAUUUAUUGGGUUUAAAGGGUCCGUAGGCGGAUCUGUAAGUCAGUGGUGAAAUCUCACAGCUUAACUGUGAAACUGCCAUUGAUACUGCAGGUCUUGAGUAAAUUUGAAGUGGCUGGAAUAAGUAGUGUAGCGGUGAAAUGCAUAGAUAUUACUUAGAACACCAAUUGCGAAGGCAGGUCACUAAGAUUUAACUGACGCUGAUGGACGAAAGCGUGGGGAGCGAACAGGAUUAGAUACCCCCGUAGUCCCUGUCUCUUAUAC
rnacentral:rRNA from 1 species